GGAGAGGUGGCAGAGUGGUCGAAUGCGGCGGUCUCGAAAACCGUUUCCGCGGGUUUCCGUGGACCUGGGUUCGAAUCCCAGCCUCUCCGCCA
rnacentral:tRNA from 1 species